rnacentral:rRNA from 1 species
GACGAACGCUGGCGGCGUGCUUAACACAUGCAAGUCGAACGGAAAGGCCCUGCUUUUGUGGGGUGCUCGAGUGGCGAACGGGUGAGUAACACGUGAGUAACCUGCCCUUGACUCUGGGAUAACUUCAGGAAACUGGGGCUAAUACCGGAUAGGAGCUCCUGCUGCAUGGUGGGGGUUGGAAAGUUUCGGCGGUUGGGGAUGGACUCGCGGCUUAUCAGCUUGUUGGUGGGGUAGUGGCUUACCAAGGCUUUGACGGGUAGCCGGCCUGAGAGGGUGACCGGCCACAUUGGGACUGAGAUACGGCCCAGACUCCUACGGGAGGCAGCAGUGGGGAAUAUUGCACAAUGGGCGGAAGCCUGAUGCAGCAACGCCGCGUGCGGGAUGACGGCCUUCGGGUUGUAAACCGCUUUCGCCUGUGACGAAGCGUGAGUGACGGUAAUGGGUAAAGAAGCACCGGCUAACUACGUG